rnacentral:pre_miRNA from 1 species
AGUGAGAUAGCUGGGUCAAUUGGUGGUUCCAUUCUGAAUUUUCUGAGGAAUCUCCAAACUGCUUUCCAUAGUGGUUGCACCAAUUUGCAGUCCCCCAGCAAU